UUGAGCCUCCAGGGCUAACAAGAUGUGCUGUGACAGGAGCAGCUAGCUGGAAAGGCAUGAUUGAAGAGCGAGCCAAUAAUGUGUGUGCACAGCCUGGGCGGGGAGGGGAGCCCCUCUGCCCAGCCCUGGAAUCGCACAAAGGAAAGGUGGGGAGAGGGACACUCUUGGCAACGCAGCAGCGUUAGGAGAGAUGGAUGAACUUUCCCACUUCACCGGCGCCACGGAGCUGACAGUAAAUAUCAGAAGUAAUGAUAUUGACUUUAAGGUAUUAUGGUUCCAAAUGUCACUUGUGCUUUCGUUCUCUUUCUCUCUUUUAAGAAAAAAAAAAAAGAAAGAAAAGAAAAAAACACAGUCUCCCCGACCUGAUUUGCAUUUUUCCUUCCUCUGUUCCUCUGUUCCUACACCUGGGAAGGUAGAGACCAUCCUGCACAUUGCACCUUCCGGGCACCCAACACCAGAUCUCAUUAGGAAAUUCAGCCGUGGCCUUCCUGUCCUUUUUGUCCCAAGCAUCUUAUGCAGGACAAGAAAGGCCUUCCCAGAGCAUCCUUUCCCUCUGUCCUCCCCAUCCCCACCCCUGCCCCAGCUCAGGA
rnacentral:lncRNA from 1 species